GACGAACGCUGGCGGCGUGCUUAACACAUGCAAGUCGUACGGUAAGGCCCUUUCGGGGGUACACGAGUGGCGAACGGGUGAGUAACACGUGAGUAACCUGCCCACAACUUUGGGAUAACGCUAGGAAACUGGUGCUAAUACUGGAUAUGUGCUCCUGCUGCAUGGUGGGGGGUGGAAAGCUCCGGCGGCUGUGGAUGGACUCGCGGCCUAUCAGCUUGUUGGUGGGGUAGUGGCCUACCAAGGCGGCGACGGGUAGCCGGCCUGGGAGGGUGACCGGCCACAGUGAGACUGAGAUUCGGCCCAGACUCCUACGGGAGGGAGCAGUAGGAGAUAUUACACAAUGAGCGCAAGCCUGAUGCAGCAACGCCGCGGGCGGGAUGGCGGCCUUCGGGUUGUGAUCCGCUUUCAGCAGGGACGAAGCUGUUUGUGACGGUACCUGCAGAAGAAGCACCGGCUAACUACGUG
rnacentral:rRNA from 1 species